rnacentral:lncRNA from 1 species
AGCAAACAUUGAACUCCCUUGUCGGCAUUCUUUUGUGAUGGCUCUUAAUGAAGUUGCUUGAAUAGGUUGAGCAUCCGCACCCUGCAAUUUCCUUGCCUGAUUCCCCCAUUGGAACUCCAUCGUCAUUUGCUUCCAAUUACACACCACCGAGCCAAGCAUCUCCAGCCAUUGUAUACCCAACACAAGAUCAAGCCCAGUGAGGGG